rnacentral:rRNA from 1 species
AGUGAACGCUGGCGGUAGGCCUAGCACAUGCAAGUCGAACGGCAGCACAGUAAGAGCUUGCUCUUACGGGUGGCGAGUGGCGGACGGGUGAGGAAUACAUCGGAAUCUACUUUUUCGUGGGGGAUAACGUAGGGAAACUUACGCUAAUACCGCAUACGACCUACGGGUGAAAGCAGGGGAUCUUCGGACCUUGCGCGAUUGAAUGAGCCGAUGUCGGAUUAGCUAGUUGGCGGGGUAAAGGCCCACCAAGGCGACGAUCCGUAGCUGGUCUGAGAGGAUGAUCGGCCACACUGGAACUGAGACACGGUCCAGACUCCUACGGGAGGCAGCAGUGGGGAAUAUUGGACAAUGGGCGCAAGCCUGAUCCAGCCAUACCGCGUGGGUGAAGAAGGCCUUCGGGUUGUAAAGCCCUUUUGUUGGGAAAGAAAAGCAGCAGGUUAAUACCCCGCUGUUCUGACGGUACCCAAAGAAUAAGCACCGGCUAACUUCGUG